UGCGUAGGCGGCCCUGCAAGUUGGGUGUGAAAUGCUUCGGCUCAACCGGAGGAAUUGCGCCCAAAACUGUAGGGGCUCGAGUAAGACAGAGGUGGAGCGGAACUUAGGGUGGAGCGGUGAAAUGCGUUGAUAUCCUAAGGAACACCGGUGGCGAAAGCGGCUCACUGGGUCUUGUCUGACGCUGAGGCACGAAAGCUAGGGGAGCGAACG
rnacentral:rRNA from 1 species